rnacentral:rRNA from 1 species
UACGUAGGGUGCAAGCGUUAAUCGGAAUUACUGGGCGUAAAGCGUGCGCAGGCGGCUUUGCAAGACAGAUGUGAAAUCCCCGGGCUUAACCUGGGAACUGCAUUUGUGACUGCAUGGCUGGAGUGCGGCAGAGGGGGAUGGAAUUCCGCGUAUAGCAGUGAAAUGCGUAGAUAUGCGGAGGAACACCGAUGGCGAAGGCAGUCCCCCUGGGCCUGCACUGACGCUCAUGCACGAAAGCGUGGGGAGCAAACAGG